rnacentral:rRNA from 1 species
CCCGACUGCUAUUUGGGUGAGAAUAAGCCAUGCGAGUUGAAUGGGAUACCUAAAGUUCCCAUAGCAAACUGCUCAGUAACACAUGAUCAACUUACCCUAUAGAGAAAAAUAACCUCGGGAAACUGAGGACAAUGUUUCAUAAUUGAAUUGGCUUGGAAAAGUUUUUCAAUGAAAAGGAUAAAAAAAAUGGUUUUUAUCUGCUAUAGGAUAGGAUCGUGUUCGAUUAUGGUUGUUGGUGAGAUAAUGGCUCACCAAGCCGAUAAUCGAUAGGGGCCGCGAGAGCGGGAGCCCCGAGAUGGGUACUGAGACAACGACCCAGGCCUUACGAGGCGCAGCAGGCGCGGAACCUCCGCAAUACACGAAAGUGUGACGGGGUUACCCAAAGUGUUCAAUAGAACUGUGGUAGGUGAGUAAUGUCCCCUACUAGAAAGGAGAGGGGCAAGGCUGGUGCCAGCCGCCGCGGUAAAACCAGCUCUUCAAGUGGUCGGGAUAAUAUUGGGCUUAAAGUGUCCGUAGCCGGUUUAGUAAGUUCCUGGUAAAAUCGGGUAGCUUAACUAUCUGCAUGCUAGGAAUACUGCUAUACUAGAGGGCGGGAGAGGUCUGAGGUACUACAGGGGUAGGGGUGAAAUCUUAUAAUCCUUGUAGGACCACCAGUGGCGAAGGCGUCAGACUGGAACGCGCCUGACGGUGAGGGACGAAAGCCAGGGGAGCGAACCGGAUUAGAUACCCGGGUAGUCCUGGCCGUAAACGAUGCAUACUAGGUGAUGGUACGGCCAUGAGCCGUAUCAGUGCCGUAGGGAAACCGUUAAGUGUGCCGCCUGGGAAGUACGGUCGCAAGGCUAAAACUUAAAGGAAUUGGCGGGGGAGCACCACAGGGGGUGAAGCCUGCGGUUCA